rnacentral:lncRNA from 8 species
AUGUCUCCCCAGCCUGGUGAAUCCUGGGCCAGAGCCGCCAGAGCUGCCCACCAGUCCGGAGCCGCCAGAGCUGCCCGCCAGUCCGGAGCCGCCAGAGCUGCCCGCCAGUCCGGAGCCGCCAGAGCUGCCCGCCAGUCCGGAGCCGCCAGAGCUGCCCACCAGUCAGGAGCCGCCAAAACUGCCCGCCAGUCAGGAGCCGUCAGAGCCGCCCGCCAGUCAGGAGCCGCCAGAGCCGCCCGCCUGUCCAGAGCCGCCAGAGCCGCCAGCCUGGUGAGUCCUGUGCCUGCGCCCAGGGCCAGGCCUCCUUCAUGUCUCCCCAGCCUGGUGAGUCCUGUGCCUGUGCCAAGGGCCAGGCCUCCUUCAUGUCUCCCCAGCCUGGUGAAUCCGGGGCCAGAGCCGCCAGAGCUGCCCACCAGUCCGGAGCCGCCAGAGCUGCCCGCCAGUCCGGAGCCGCCAGAGCUGCCCGCCAGUCCGGAGCCGCCAGAGCUGCCCGCCAGUCCGGAGCCGCCAGAGCUGCCCGCCAGUCAGGAACCGCCAGAGCUGCCCACCAGUCAGGAGCCGUCAGAGCCGCCCGCUAGUCAGGAGCCGCCAGAGCCGCCCGCCUGUCCGGAGCCGCCAGAGCCGCCCGCCUGUCCAGAGCAGUCAGAGCCGCCCGCCAGCCCGGAGCCGCCGAAGCCGCCAGAGCCGCCCGACAGACUGGUGAGUCCUGUGCCUGUGCCCAGGGCCAGGCCUCCUUCAUAUCUCCCCAGCCUGGUGAAUCCUGGGUCAGUGCCGCCGGAGCAGCCAGGGACGCCCGCCAGCCGGGCGCAGCCAACGUCGCCAGCCGGGCGCAACCAGGGUCGCCCGCCAGCCAGGCGCAGCCAACGUCGCCAGCCGGGCGCAACCAGGGUCGCCCGCCAGCCAGGCGCAACCAUCACCGCCCAUCAGCCGGGCGCAACCAGGGUCGCCCGCCAGCCGGGCGCAGCCAUCGUACCUUCGGCGCGGCCAGGUGCGCCACCUAAGAGGGCGACGCCAAGGGUGGAGCAGAGGCCACGUCCCGCGCCCGUAAGAAGGCCCACCCGGACCCUCCCCUUCUGA